rnacentral:rRNA from 1 species
UACAGAGGGGGCAAGCGUUGUUCGGAAUUACUGGGCGUAAAGGGCGCGUAGGCGGCCUUCUAAGUCGAACGUGAAAUCCCUGGGCUCAACCCAGGAACUGCGUCCGAUACUGGGAGGCUUGAAUCCGGGAGAGGGAUGUGGAAUUCCAGGUGUAGCGGUGAAAUGCGUAGAUAUCUGGAGGAACACCGGUGGCGAAGGCGGCAUCCUGGACCGGUAUUGACGCUGAUGCGCGGAAGCCAGGGGAGCAAACGGG